AUGCCCACGCUCGCUUUCCACGGGAUGAACGCCGCCUGUCUCCAACGCUUGCCUCUCCAUUGGAUCGCCGCCACUGCCCCACGGACGCGGUCGUCGUCGCCGUCCGCCGCUCCUCCACUCGAUUGCCGCUCAAGGAUGCGGUCACUGCCGGCAUCUCCUGGAGCGUGGGUCGUCGCCGCCCACCGCUCGGCUGCUGCCCCAUGGACGUGCUCGCCCACACCCCUACAUCCGCUGGCCUCUCCUGGAGCGCGGGUCGUCGUUGCCGCCCGCCGUCGCUGUCGCCACACGCAGUGCAUUGAGGCCCUAGCCAUCAAGAGACAUCUUUCCCCGUGA
rnacentral:rRNA from 1 species